rnacentral:lncRNA from 1 species
AGGGCGGGUCCGCGGCCGCCAGGUGAGCCCGCCCCGGUAGCCCCGCGCGUGGUCCGGUCGGCAGAGGCUUGGCGAGCCGCCAUCCCGCCCCUGCCCCAGGCCCACCUUCCCCCACCGCCCAGGCCCCGCUGGCCUCCCCGGCUCAUCUCGCACCCGGCGCAGACCCCAUGCCCUCCCGUCUCGGCAGCGCCCCCCGCUUCGCCUCCCGGUCCGGCCCCAGCUCGACGGGCGGAACCGGGUGCGCACAGCAGCCCCGCGCCCUGGCCCAGGGCCAGCGGGUUAACGCUUAACUACGCUCCAGGAGCUGUAGGCUCCAGCCGCGCCUCGAGUCCCCAACCUUUGGCCCCGGAAGCCAAAAAGAGGAGCGGACGGUGAAGGAGUCAGGGAUAAUGUGAGUUGAUGCUGGCUGAGAUCUGCUCCGAUGAGGGUUUGAAAGAGAGAGCUCCGGGUGUCAAAGUCAGUGGAUGGCAAAACAUGCCUGGAGGGAGCAACCAGGCAUCCAACCACAGGCCCUGGGCUGGAGGGCGGGGGGGGGGGGGGGUGGAAGCAGAGGAAGGAGAGAGAAGGAAAUUUGGGAGGAAGAGUGGGCACGAACUGGCUGCCCAAUUGUGUGGGUGGGUAGGUGGCAGGGAGGGACUGGUUGUUCUGGGUCUGCCCCUCCGGCCCCACCACACCUGCUUCCAGGUGAGCUUAGGAAUUUCCCAGGCUUCCUCCCAGCUGGAGCCAGACGUGUCCCUCAGAGGCCCCAGCCCUGCCCAUCCUUUCCUGCCCUACCCAGGGCUUCUCUACCUUCUUGGCUUGGCCUGCUCCUUGUUCACACCUUGGUAAAUGACCCUUCACAAAAGUCAUUUUCUCUAUUUGUGCUUUUCUUUCUUUUGCCAGGACGCUUGACUUUCUCGACAGGGAGGGGGAGGCAAGCCUGGUGCCCAGUGCUCUGCCUGCACUGGUCAGUGCGCGUGGCUGUCACUUGGCUGGGAAGCUAGGCCAGGAGAGCAGCUGCAGCUGUGGAGGUCGGCAGUUGAGAGGUGGAGAGACCUGAGCACACUUGGGCCAGUCGUCCCGUGGCAUUUGGGAGCCCAGGACCGAGCCGGGGGGCAAGUGUGGGCAAUGCUUGGAGCCACAGAGUGGGGGUAGGGAAUUGGAGGGGUAGAGAGGACAACUCAAACCAAGCCAGGAACCCACAGAGGAGACCAGGAAAGGAAAACCAAGAAGGAGUGAGUCCCCAAUGCCCCCAAAUUGAUCCAUAUAUUGAAUGAUCCCCAGUAAAAGUAGCUCCAUGAUGAUUCCAAAGCCCUUAGGAAACUAAAGGUGCCAGGAGAAUGAAUAGACACGUCUCCAUAGAAGACACACACUGGUCAACAAGUACAUGGGAAAUGUCCAGCAUCCUCCAGGAAAUGCAAAGCAAAACCACAGUGAGAUCCCACCUCCCACCCGCUGGGACUGGGCAGAUGCAGUCCUGGCAAACCAGUCUUGGUGAGGAGCGGGGGUAUCAGAGCCCUGCUGCACUGAGAUACACACACACAAAAUGGAAUAGUAUUCAGUCUUAAAAAGGAAAGAAAUUCCAGUACUGGCUGCAACUUGGAUGGACCCUGAGGAUCCUAUGCUGAGUUAAAUAAGCCAGUCACAGAAGAACACGUACCAUACAAUCCCACUUAUGUGAGGUCCCUAGAGUAGUCACUUUCAUAGAGAUAGUAGCUGACAGGAGGAGCAUGGGGAGUGACUGUUUAAUGAAUACAGACUUGAAAUUUGGGAAGAGGUAAAAGUUCUGGAGAUGGAUGGUGGUGAUGGGUGGUGAUGAUGGACAUUGGAGAUGGGCAAUGGACAUGGAUGGUGGUGAUGGAUGGUAUAAAUGGAUAUUGGAUGUGGACAGCGGACGUGGACAGUGGAGAUAGAGGGUGGUGAUGGCUGGUGGACAUGGACAGUGAAGAUAGAGAGUAGUGAUGGAUGGUGGAGAUAGAGGGCGGUGAUGGACAGUGGAGAUAGAGGGUGGUGAUGGACAGUGGAGAUAGAGAGUGGUGAUGGACAGUGGAGAUAGAAGGUGGUGAUGGACAGUGGAGAUAGAAGGUGGUGAUGGACAGUGGACAUGGACGCUGGAGAUAGAGGGUGGUGAUGGACAGUGGAGAUAGAGGGUGGUGAUGGAUGGUGGACAUGGACAGUGGAGAUAGAGGGUGGUGAUGGAUGGUGGACAUGGAUAGUGGAGUUGAAGGGUGGAGAUGGAGGGUGGUGAUGGAUGGCGGUGAUGGAGGGUGGAGAUGGAGGGUGGUGAUGGAGGGUGGAGGGUAGUGAUGGACAGUGGAGAUGGAGGGUGGAGAUGGUGGGUGGUGAAGGAGGUUGGUGAUGGAGGGUGGUGAUGGGGGGUGGAGAUGGAGGGUGGUGAUGGAUGGUGGAGAUGGAGGGUAAAAAUAGUUGGUGGUGAUGGAGGAUGGAGAUGGAGGGUGGAUGGAGGGUGGAGAUAGAUGGUGGUGAUAGAGGGUGGUGAUGGAGGGUGGAGAUGGUGGGUGAUGAUGGAGGGUGGUGAUGGAUGGUGGAGAUAAAUGGUGGUGAUGAAGGGUGGAGAUGGAGGGUGGAGAUGCAGGGUGGAAAUGGAGGGUGGUGAUGGACAGUAGAGAUGAAUGGUUGUGAUGGAUGGUGGAGAUGGAGGGUGGAAAUGGUGGGUGGUGAUGGAGGAUGGAGAUGGAGGGUGGAUGGAGGGUGGAGAUGGUGAGUGGUGAUAGAGGGUGGAGAUAAAUGGUGGUAAUGGACAGUGGAGAUGGACAGCGGAAAUGGAGGGUGGAGAUGCAGGGUGGAAAUGGAGGGUGGUGAUGGACAGCGGAGAUGAAUGGUAGUGAUGGAUGGUGGAGAUGGAGCAUGGAAAUGGUGGGUGGUGAUGGAGGAUGGAGAUGGAGGGUGGUGAUGGAGAGUGGUGAUGGAUGGUGGAGAUGAAUGGUGGUGAUGGACGAUGGAGAUGGAGGAUGGAGAUGGAGGGUGGAUGAAGGGUGGAGAUGGAAGAUAGUGAUGGAGGGUGGUGAUGGAUGGUGGUGAUGGAGGAUGGAGAUGGAGGGUGGAUGGAGGGUGGAGAUGGUGAGUGGUGAUGGAGGGUGGAGAUAAAUGGUGGUAAUGGACAGUGGAGAUGGACAGUCGAAAUGGAGAGUGGUGAUGGAUGGUAGUGAUGGAUGGUGGAGAUGGACAGCGGAGAUGAAUGGUGGUGAUGGAUGGUGGAGAUGGAGCGUGGAAAUGGUGGGUGGUGAUGGAGGAUGGAGAUGGAGGGUGGAGAUGGAGGGUGGUGAUGGAGGGUGGAGAUGAAUGGUGGUGAUGGAUGGUGGAGAUGGAGGAUGGAGAUGGAGGGUGGAUGAAGGGUGGAGAUGGAAGGUGGUGAUGGAGGGUGGUGAUGGAUGGUGGAGAUGAAUGGUGGCGAUGGACGGUGGAGAUGGAGGAUGGAGAUGGAAGGUGGUGAUGGAGGGUGGAGAUGCAGGGUGGAAAUGGAGGGUGGUGAUGGAUAGCAGAGAUGAAUGGUUGUGAUGGAUGGUGGAGAUGGAGGGUGGAAAUGGUGGGUGGUGAUGGAGGAUGGAGAUGGAGGGUGGAUGAAGGGUGGAGAUGAAUGGUGGUGAUGGACGGUGGAGAUGGAGGGUGGACGAAGGGUGGAGAUGGAAGGUGGUGAUGGAGGGUGGAGAUGGAGGGUGGUGAUGGAGGGUGGAGAUGCAGGGUGGUGAUGGAGGGUGGCGAUGGAGGUUGGUGAUGGAGGGUGGCGAUGGAGGGUGGUGAUGGAGGGUGGAGAUGGAGGGUGGUGAUGGAGGGUGGAGAUGCAGGGUGGAAAUGGAGGGUGGAGAUGCAGGGUGGAAAUGGAGGGUGGUGAUGGACAGCAGAGAUGAAUGGUUGUGAUGGAUGGUGGAGAUGGAGGGUGGAAAUGGUGGGUGAUGGAGGGUGGAGAUGGUGAGUGGUGAUAGAAGGUGGAGAUGAAUGGUGGCGAUGGACGGUGGAAAUGGAAGAUGGAGAUGGAGGGUGGAUGGAGGGUGGAGAUGGUGAGUGGUGAUACAGGGUGGAGAUAAAUGGUGGUAAUGGACAUAGAGAUGGACGGUGGAAAUGGAGGAUGGUGAUGGUUGUACAACAAUGUGAAUGCACUUGAUGUCACUCAACUGUUCACUUAAAAAUGGCAAACAUAGUAGUUUUUAUGUUACAUAUAUUUUACUACAAUAAAAAAAGAAUGAAAAGCCUAUAAAAUUCUGAAAAAUAAAAAAGGGGGCUUUAGCCCUGCCAGAGAGUAGAAUCCAUCAUAGAACAUCUUGCUAUGGGCAGUUGACUGGACACACACAUCAGAGCAGGUCUGUGUGAUCAUUUAGCAUAUGAUUAAUGGGGCAUUUAAAAUCCACGAGGGGCCGGGCGCAGUGGCUCACGCCCGUAAUCCCAGCACUUUGGGAGGCCGAGGCGGGUGGAUCACCUGAGGUCAGCAGUUCGAGACCAGCCUAACUAACAUGGGGAAACCCUGUCUCUACUAAAAAUACAAAAAAUAGCUGGGCAUGGUGGUGGGUGGCUGUAAUCCCAGCUACUGAGGUGGCUGAGGUGGGAGAAUCACUUGAACCUGGAAGCGGAGGUUGCAGUGAGCCAAGAUCGUGCCACUUCUCUCCAGCCUGAGCAACAAAGCGAGACUCUGUCUCAAAAAAUAAAUUAAUUAAUAAAUAAAUAAAUCCAUGAGGGAAAGGAUGUCAUUUAAAAAAGGGUGUGGCCAGGCACGGUGGCUCAUGCCUAUAACCAGCACUUUGGAGGCCGAGGCAGGUGGAUCACCUGAGGUCAGGAGUUUGAGACUGGCCUGGCCAGCAUGGUGAAACUCUGUCUCUACUAAAAAAAAAGGACAAAAUUAGCUGGAUGUGGUGGCGCAUGCCUGUAAUCCCAGCUACUUGGGAGGCUGAGGCAGGAGAAUCGCUUGAACCUGGGAGGCAGAGAUUGCAGUGAGCCUAGAUUACGCCAUUGUACUUCAGUCUGGGCAACGAGCGAAACUCCAUCUCAAAAAAAAUAAAAAUAAUAAUAAAAUAAUAAUAAAGGGUGGUGGAGCAACUGGGCGGCCUUGGUGUCUGGAAAAACAUGACGUUGGAUCCUGAUCCCACUCUUCACACGGAAAUAAAUUCCUUAUGGAGCGGAAAUAGAAAUGCAAAAACCCAAAACCACAAACAUAAUUUGGAAAAAACACAGGAGACUAUUUAAUGAUCUCAGGAUCCGGAAGGCUUUUCUGAGCACAACAAAAAAGCAGAAGCCACAGGGAACAUUGUUGAAAAAUUUAAUUAAAUUACAAAUGGCAACAUUUUGCCUAGACCACAUAUUUAAAAUCAAAGGAUGUGCAACAAACUGGGGAGAACCCAUGAUAACUCAGUGGUUAACAAAGGGCCGAUUCUCCCAACAAAGGGCUACUAUCAGUCAACGAGGAAAGGGCCAGGCCGCCGGACACGCUGCACAAAGGAAGCCCCAAUGGCUGCUGACUGCAAGAUGCUGAACCUCCGCCGUAAUCAGGGAUGAGCAAAUUGGCCCUACCGGAAGAUGGUAUUUUCACCUGUCAGACGUUUUCAUGAGAGACUGGGAUGGGAGGAGCGGGGAGACAGGCACUUCCCACAACUCCCAGCAGGAGUGUGAAUUUGGGGUGUCGGGGGAGGGGAUUUUGUUUCCACUAUAGCCUGGUACUGCUAGAAGGUUUUAAAUGAGGACACUAGCUGUACUAACAAUUACAAAAUUCGCAGUACUGUGUAGGGGAGAGAGGGUCGGGGGGGAGGGCAUGGGGCCCCCUACGCAAUGUGGUGGCGCCAAGGGAAUGCCUAGCGGGUCCCUUGGGCUUAAGGACAAGGAUGCCAAGGUUUUGGGGCCUGGCAGGCCGGAGUGGGUGCCUGGAGCUAGAGGUAGAAGGUGUAGGUGCCCCCUUCUGGGAACAAGGGGGUGAGAGGAGGGAGGGAAAAAGGGGUGCAGGGCGGGUCAGAGGGCUCCCUCCCCCCAACAGCUGACCCCCCAGCCCCAGCGCCCUGCUUUGCAGCCACGGCAUUCAGCAGCCUCCACCUGGGGCUGAGAUUGUGACCACCCUCAGGGACACGGGUUCAGGUCUGCUGUCUGCUGAACCUACGUUCUGCAGGAUUUGGUCCAGGGCUCUGGUGAAGAUGUAGGAGUUGGCCUGCGUCAGCGCCCGUCCCCGCUUUCCACAGCGAGCAAAGACCGUGGGAACCCUGAUGCCCCUUUGCAUUUGCGCUUCUGUACUUAGCUGCUAGUCUCAGGCAGUGAAAGCUUCAAGCCACCCGCAGAGCCCUGGAACUGGGGCAUUGGCUCUAGUGGGAAAAGGAGGCUUCCCACUGGCGACCCACCAUGACAGACCACAAAAGACAUGCAGGUCCCCACAGUCAGGCCCUGACACCCACUCUUCCUGCCUUCUUCUGCCUAGGCUUGCACAGCUGGGCAAGUGAGCGGGAGCCACGGGUUAGCUGAGAUCACCUGCGGCCAGGAACAGGGCCUUCCUGGAGGUGAGGACAAGCUCUGCUUCCUCCAGGAGCAGGUGCUGGAGCAGAGCGGCUCCCCCGUUCUACAAGUGUCCUCUGUGUGGCGGCCCAGGUCUGUGCGGGCCUGUCCAGCCCAGGAGAGGACAGAAGUCAUCUGUAGCCUGGGCCCCUGUGGCCCCCAGCGAGAGGCCCUGGUGGGACUGGUCUUUCUCAGCCUGUGCACCUGGGGCUGAAACAGGACUCAAAGAGGGAAAGUGGCCCAGGCAGGCCCUCCCCUCAGGCCUCCCCUCUCCCUGGCUGCUCUCCCAGGCUUCCCUGCUUUCCCUUCUGAGACCCCGACUACUGGACCCAGCCUUACUGCCAAGAUAAUUAUCCACAACAGCAGGAGCGCCCAGGCCCAUGAAGAUAAUCGCCUGCCCAGCACUGUGUCCACAUCCAGUUCAUCCCAGCUGAGACCCAAGUGCAGCUGAGGGGUGGGGGACACUCCUCAGCUCUCGAAUGAUGCCAACCCUCCAGGGCCUGGCUGGGAGCAGCUCAGUGCUUCCUGGCUCCGGGGCUGUGUUCCCUACGUCCCAUUCGGAGCUUCUCUCCUGAAGAAAACAGUGUCUGCCUGCACCCUUCUUAGAAAGCACCCUGACACGUGGCUACAAAGAGCAGAGAGCACAGUACCCUUCCCAGACACACACCAGCACCCCCACCCACUGCAUUUAAGCCACCACUGUCCCGCCGCAUUCAUCCCUCCUCUACCCCCUAAAUUCAUCUUUCAGUGGAACUCUGCGUUCAUCCCUCCACUCCCCGCUCCAUUCAUCCCUCCACUCCCUGCUCCAUUCACCCCUCCACUCCCCCCUCCAUUCACCCUUCCACUCCCCCCUCCAUUCAUCCUUCCACUACCCCCUAAAUUCAUCCUUCCACAGAACCCUGCGUUCAUCCCUCCACUCCCCGCUCCAUUCACCUCCACUCUCCCUCCAUUCACCCCUCCAAACCCCCCUCCAUUCACCCCUCCACUCUCCCCUCCCUUCACCCUCCACUCCCUGCUCCUUUCACCCCUCCACUCCCCCCCAUUCACCCUUCCACUCCCCCCUCCAUUCAUCCUUCCACUACCCCCUAAAUUCAUCCUUCCACAGAACCCUGCGUUCAUCCCUCCACUCCCCGCUCCAUUCACCUCCACUCUCCCUCCAUUCACCCCUCCAAACCCCCCUCCAUUCAUCCCUCCACUCCCCCCUCCAUUCACCCCUCCACUCCCCCCUAC